rnacentral:lncRNA from 1 species
GACAUAUUUCUAUAUUUAGUAACAAUUUAGCUAUAAAAUGUUUAUUUUACUCUUAAUAAAAUGAUUUACAACCACAUAGUUUUCUAUCAUUCAUUUUGGACCACAAGUUUUAAAAGUCUUUCUUUCUUAAAUUCCGUAUCGAAUCAAACUACUUCACAUAAAAUGAGAUGGAGGAAGUAUAUUAUUAUUGUCAAAUUUUCAGUAUGCCCCAAC